rnacentral:rRNA from 1 species
UACGCAGCUGUACGAGCUCGAUCACUAGUAACUGCGCCAGGUUGCUGAUCGCGUAGAGUUGAUCUGCUCAGAUGACGCUGCGCAGCUUAACACAUGCAAGUCGAGCGGGGAAGGGUAGCUUGCUACCUGACCUAGCGGCGGACGGGUGAGUAAUGCUUAGGAAUCUGCCUAUUAGUGGGGGACAACAUUCCGAAAGGAAUGCUAAUACCGCAUACGCCCUACGGGGGAAAGCAGGGGAUCUUCGGACCUUGCGCUAAUAGAUGAGCCUAAGUCAGAUUAGCUAGUUGGUGGGGUAAAGGCCUACCAAGGCGACGAUCUGUAGCGGGUCUGAGAGGAUGAUCCGCCACACUGGGACUGAGACACGGCCCAGACUCCUACGGGAGGCAGCAGUGGGGAAUAUUGGACAAUGGGCGAAAGCCUGAUCCAGCCAUGCCGCGUGUGUGAAGAAGGCCUUUUGGUUGUAAAGCACUUUAAGCGAGGAGGAGGCUACUUGGAUUAAUACUCUAGGAUAGUGGACGUUACUCGCAGAAUAAGCACCGGCUAACUCUGUGCCAGCAGCCGCGGUAAUACAGAGGGUGCGAGCGUUAAUCGGAUUUACUGGGCGUAAAGCGUGCGUAGGCGGCUUUUUAAGUCGGAUGUGAAAUCCCUGAGCUUAACUUAGGAAUUGCAUUCGAUACUGGGAAGCUAGAGUAUGGGAGAGGAUGGUAGAAUUCCAGGUGUAGCGGUGAAAUGCGUAGAGAUCUGGAGGAAUACCGAUGGCGAAGGCAGCCAUCUGGCCUAAUACUGACGCUGAGGUACGAAAGCAUGGGGAGCAAACAGGAUUAGAUACCCUGGUAGUCCAUGCCGUAAACGAUGUCUACUAGCCGUUGGGGCCUUUGAGGCUUUAGUGGCGCAGCUAACGCGAUAAGUAGA